UACAGAGGGUGCGAGCGUUGUCCGGAAUCACUGGGCGUAAAGGGCGCGUAGGUGGCCCGACAAGUCACUGGUGAAAGCUCGAUGCUCAACAUCGAGUCGGCCAGUGAUACUGUUGGGCUGGAGCACUGUAGAGGCUAAUGGAAUUCCGGGUGUAGCGGUGGAAUGCGUAGAGAUCCGGAAGGACACCGGUGGCGAAGGCGGUUAGCUGGGCAGUUGCUGACACUGAGGCGCGACAGCGUGGGGAGCAAACAGG
rnacentral:rRNA from 1 species